rnacentral:rRNA from 1 species
UACGAAGGGGGCUAGCGUUGCUCGGAAUCACUGGGCGUAAAGGGUGCGUAGGCGGGUCUUUUAAGUCAGGGGUGAAAUCCUGGAGCUCAACUCCAGAACUGCCUUUGAUACUGAGGAGCUCGAGUCCGGGAGAGGUGAGUGGAACUCCGAGUGUAGAGGUGAAAUUCGUAGAUAUUCGGAAGAACACCAGUGGCGAAGGCGGCUCACUGGCCCGGUACUGACGCUGAGGUGCGAAAGCGUGGGGAGCAAACAGG